UACAGAGGUCUCAAGCGUUGUUCGGAUUCAUUGGGCGUAAAGGGUGCGUAGGUGGCGCCGUAAGUCAGGUGUGAAAUUUCGGAGCUUAACUCCGAAACUGCAUUUGAUACUGCGGUGCUUGAGGACUGGAGAGGAGACUGGAAUUCAUGGUGUAGCAGUGAAAUGCGUAGAGAUCAUGAGGAAGACCAGUGGCGAAGGCGGGAUCCUGGGCCAGUACUGACGCUGAGGAGCGAAAGCGUGGGGAGCAAACAGG
rnacentral:rRNA from 1 species